UCAUACAAAGACCCUAUAGCAAGCUAUAGCCUCUUUAGGGAAUCUCAGUUAACAAUCCAGAAGCUUAUUGGUCACUUGUUCUGAAAGAGCUUUCAGUUAUGUUUCAUCAAAUCCCAAAAUGCAUUCUGGAUACCGGUGACAAGUCGAAGCGUGGAGGAACAUGGCUUCCAGGAUCAACUCUAAAUAUUGCUGAAUGUUGUGUGAUACCCACAGAUCAUCCCAGAAAAGAUGACAACAGUUUGGCUGUCAGAUGGAGAGAUGAAGGCAGUGAUGAUUCCAAAAUUAAUUGCAUGACUUUGAAGGAACUUAGAGAACAAGUAAUGUUGGUUGCAAAUGCGUUGGAUGCGACAUUUUCAAAGGGUGAUGCAAUUGCAAUUGCGAUGCCAAUGACAGUCAAUGCUGUUAUUGUAUACCUGGCAAUUAUAUUAGCCGGAUAUGUUGUUGUAUCAAUAGCUGAUAGCUUUGCAGCAAAAGAAAUAGCAACCCGCUUACAUGUUGUUAAUGCGAAGGGCAUCUUUACUCAGGAUUUUAUACUAAGAGGAGGUCAGAAAAUUCCUUUAUACAGUCGAGUGGUAGAAGCUUCUGCGCCUAAAGCUAUUGUACUUCCUGUCAGUGGGAAUAAUGUUGGCAUUAAAUUAAGGUAUCAAGACCUAUCAUGGAGAGAUUUUCUUUCAAGCACCAAUCACUAUCCAAGACCAAAUCAUUAUUCUCCAGUAUAUCAAUCAGUAGACUCUGUGAUUAACAUUCUCUUUUCAUCUGGAACCACAGGAGAACCCAAGGCCAUUCCAUGGACACAACUUUCGGCAAUUCGAUGUGCAUCUGAUGUAUGGUGUCAUUUUGAUAUUCAAGUUGGAGAUGUUUACUGCUGGCCUACAAAUCUGGGAUGGGUGAUGGGACCAAUUUUAAUGUUCUCAUGCUUUCUUAAUGGUGCAACUCUUGCUCUUUUUCAUGGAUCUCCUCUUGGCCGUGGAUUUGGAAAAUUUGUUCAGGAUUCUGGAGUGACUAUUUUGGGUACAGUUCCAAGCUUGGUAAAAACUUGGAAGAGUACUAACUGUAUGAAAGGCUUAGAUUGGACAAAGAUAAACACCCUUGGUUCAACUGGUGAAGCCUCCAAUGUUGAUGAUGACCUCUGGCUGUCCUCUAAAGCUUACUAUAAGCCUGUUAUUGAAUGUUGUGGAGGCUCAGAACUUGCAUCAGCAUACAUCCAGGGGAGUCUGUUGCAGCCACAAGCUUUUGGAGCAUUUAGUACUGUGGCAAUGGCAGUGGGCUUAGUCAUCUUUGAUGAGUUUGGAAUACCUUAUCCAGAUAAUCAACCCUGUGUUGGUGAAGUGGGUCUAUUCCCUCUAUAUCUAGGAGCAACCGACAGGCUACUUAAUGCUGAUCAUGAUGAUGUCUACUUUAAGGGAAUGCCUAUGUACCAAGGAAUGUGCCUAAGAAGACACGGGGACAUUGUUAAAAGAACUGUUGGAGGCUAUUUCACCGUACAGGGAAGGGCUGAUGACACCAUGAAUCUUGGAGGGAUUAAGACAAGUUCUGUUGAGAUUGAACGAGUAUGUAACCAGGCAGAUGAUUGUGUCUUGGAGACAGCUGCAGUCAGUGUAGCGUCACAAGAUGGUGGUCCAGAACUGUUGGUAAUCUUUGUGAUACUGAAGAAUAGACAUGAUAGAAAACCAGAAGAAUUGAAGAUCAUAUUCUCGAAAGCUAUUCAGAAGAACCUCAACCCUCUGUUCAAGAUAGGUUUCUGUCCAGUUGCAAGUGCUUCCGGAAGAGGAACGAUUAUGUCUUGUGAACAUGGCAGAAACAGAGCAGAACAGGAGGUGAAACAGAGUUGAAAUAGAACAAAACAGAGCACAAAAACAGGUGCUGUGCACGCGAAACAGAGCGUGUGGUCGAAGCAGAGCAAAAAGAGAGUGUGCAGCUGAGCAGCCCAAAACAGAGGCCGGGGCUGGCUGCUUUUCUGGCUGAAACAAGGGUGAAAAAACAGAGAUAAUAAUCCUUUGUUGGUGAACAUGGUGAAUACAACUGACAGACUGCUGAAGGGAACCUGCAUGCUAAGGAAUGACUGCUAAAGGUCUAUUACCUCUACCUGGGAGCAACUGACAGACAGCUAAAGGGACUGCCUGCAUACCAGGAAAUGGUGUGAUUUCAGCUUCAUGUCCAAGGAACAUGACCUUUAAGCAAGACACACACAUCCGUAGCUGCAUUGGCAGAGAAUGAAGGGGAAUCCAGUAUGUCUGAUAUUCAACACUUGCAGCAAUUUAAUGAUUCUGUGGAGAACAUCACCUUGAAAAGAUGACUUGGGUAUGUGGUUCUUGACAAGCAACCACCCAUUUGUUGUAAAAGAUGCAACAGGAAACUCAAUCUUGACUCAAGCAACAACUUGAGCAUUUUGGUGAAUAUGAUGCGUCCAUUUCUAUCUCCUGGUUUUCCUUCAAUGAGAAGGACCUAAGUAGGCUGGUAAGAGUAUCUACUGUCAUGUUUUUCUACCAGGACCUAUCUAGAGAACAAUGUUCCUCGAAUAGGGAUUCUCUUGUUCAACGAGACUAACUGUAAUGCUCGAACAAGGAGUUGCCAGAAAUAUGCGCAGGUUUAAGCUAUACUGAGGAUCAAAUGUUGAAGUGGCAACCUUGUUUCAUGAUAAGACGGUCUAGACUUGGAACCAGUGUUGGCAAGUGCAAUAGAAUGUUUUGAACUGGGAGAAUUUUGUUGCAGAACUGUAUAGGAGUUUUCAGAAUUUAUAAGUGAUGAAUUCAGUGGAAGAGUUCAGCAAGUUAACUCAGUUACAAUCUAUCUUUUAGCUAUCAGGAACAAAUUUGAGGAGAUCCAAUCCAUGAUGCUAUGAACUAAUCUUGCCCCUCCCUGAACAAUAUUUCAAUUAAAGCUUCGUCUACAGCUUUGAUUAAAAACUGCCCUAUAAUUAAAAUGUUCAAACCACAACUUCUGAAUCUAGCAUUGGAGCUCUGCAAAACCAUUUCAUGCUCAAAGCAGGAGGAUGAAGUUUUAUCUGCUAGAUUGAGGCGUAUCAUAUCUUCGCAAAGUCGACAGUUUUCUUUCCAUCAUGUGCCUUCUUGAAGAAAUGCUUGACGUACUCGGAAUAAAGAACCUGCUUGUAGAUGGGUUUCUCUCCACUUGCAAGUGCUUCAGGAAAAGGACAGAUUAUGUCCUGCGGUCUUGGGUUGACAAAGAUAGGAAUGGAGAUCCUGUUCCUGCUUCCAUUGGCAACCACACGGUGCUCCACGCUCUUGUACCGGCCAUUGCUCAUUAUUUGUAAUGCAUCACCAACAUUGAUGACAAGGGAGCCAUAAAUGGGUGGGACAUGAAUCCAGUCAUCAUUGUUUCCUCUGACAUAAAGUCCACCUAUAUCAUCUUGGAGGAGGAUAGUGAGGGUGGAUACAUCUGAGUGGCGACCUACUCCUACUACAGGAGGCCACAAUUCAAAAGCCUCAUUCAUCAGAAACAUAGAAGGAGGCUGAGUAAUCUUUCCACUCCAAGGCUUUCUCUGCUACAGGACUAAAGCUACUACCAAACCGCACACUAUUAGAUGGUGAAACUCCCUUAGAGUACUUUCUCUUUUCCGCUGACGGUAACCCAUAGAACUGAUGAGUUGCAUUCUGCACGUUUUCAAGCACAUCAGUGGGCACUCCAUGAUUGACAACUUGAAAAAAUCCCCACUUCUCUGCUGCAUCACAAAUUGCAUUUGCAACUUCUGGGUCCUCCCAGUUAGACAUAUCAAUGAUGGGCAGAGAUUUGAGGCCUAAUUCGGAGAGACCUUUCACUCCAUUACCUUGGUUUAGAACAAAAUCUCUGAUCUCUGAGGAGUCUGUGAUUGGUAACGAAAUGGUUGGAGCCAUGAGAUAUAGUAAGCAAGGUAGACUUACAAGAGCAAAGAAGCGCUUUGAAGAAAUGGUGGUGCAGCUUAUUUGUCAUGCACAGCCCAUGGACAUGGAUCAAAGGCCAUGUGUUAGCCCAUGAAAGACGACAUGUGAAAGGCCACACGAUGAAGCAAAAGACAAAGACGAAGCUGCUCAGAAGAAGGGGGGUGAUACUGAAAAGAGGAAAAAGGACAAUAAGAGCACUGGUUCCAUUGAAGCACCUGAUAAGAAGGUGAUUGCCUAUAGCUGAAUUCCUCUAGGUUGUAAGCCUUCUACUCUUUGAAUAGUCUAUUUGUUUCAGACUCAGGUUUCAAUCAAUACCCUUUUUUUUUUUCCGUGCCAAGUGUUUGAUGAAAUGCCAAAGCCAAAAUCAGUAUCCAUUUUUUGAAAUAUUUGAGUAUGCAUGAGCUGAAAAUCGGAUGGUCGACGUCAUGCUUUCUAUUGAAUCAUCCGUGUGGGAUGGAACAAACCAGAUUGUAAUUGAUUCAGUUGAUUCAGUUUUAAGGUUGAAAGCUGUCUGGGAGUUGGGAGCUUGCUUAAUUUUGGAUGGGUUUCUCUCCACUUGCAAGGGCUUCAGGAAGAGGACAUUAUAUGUCUUGUGGUCCUGGGUUGACAAAGAUGGGAACUGAGAUCCUGUUUUUGCUUUUGUUGGCAACCACGCAGAGCUCCACGCUCCUGUAGCAGCCGUUGCUCAUUAUUUGCAGUGCAUCACCAACAUUAAUGACAAGGGAGCCAUAAAUGGGUGGGACAUGAAUCCAGCUAUUGUCAUCAUUGUUUCCUCUGACAUAAAGUCCACCUAUAUCAUCUUGGAGGAGGAUAGUGAUGGUGGAGACAUCUGAGCGGUGACCUACUCCUACUGAACACGAUUGGUGGAGGUCAUUGUCCCCCUAAACUCGAUCGUGAUGGCAUGAGACUACCUGAAUAACAAGUGGAACAUGCUAAAACUCAAACCGAGGAUUUUAUACUCGGUAAAAUUUUCAACUCA